rnacentral:misc_RNA from 1 species
UCACUACUUGCGUAGGCAGUCUGGCUAGAGUCCCCACCUUGACGUGCUGGUAACUAACCACAGGGGUUGCGCUCGUUGCGCCACUUAAGGCAACACCUCACGGCACGAGCUGACGACAGCCAUGCAGCACCUUCCAUGGUGCCCCGAAGGGAAAUCCCGUUUCCGGGACGGUCACCACAGAUUUAGCCCAGGUAAGGUUCUUCGCGUUGCAUCGAAUUAAGCCACAUGCUCCACCGCUUGUGCGGGCCCCCGUCAAUUCCUUUGAGUUUCAUUCUUGCGAACGUACUCCCCAGGUGGUGUGCUUACUGCGUUAACUGCGUCACUGACCCCGACUCGCGUCGAGGGCCAACAACUAGCACACAUCGUUUACAGCGUGGACUAC